GAACUGGAGAGUUUGAUUCUGGCUCAGAUUGAACGCUGGCGGCGUGCUUAACACAUGCAAGUCGAACGCGAAAGGGGCUUCGGCUCCGAGUAGAGUGGCGCACGGGUGAGUAAC
rnacentral:rRNA from 1 species